ACCAGCACCUCAUCCCACCCCUUCAUCUCCGCGCCCCGCAAAGACCCUGGGGAUGACCAACGUCCUGGACCCAGAGCAGGGCCUCACUUACACAGUGCUCUCCCUCCCUUCCUGCCAGGGAGGAAUUUCAGCCAGUCUGGCCGUCGUCCUUAUCGCUGACUGUGGAAUCCAGUUAAAUGUGGAGUCCAGGGAGUAGCGGAGUAUGGGCCGGGAGGGUUCCCACGGCGACCACCUUGCUCCUGUAUGAUCCCACCCCUGGCCUCAGCUGCCAGGUGUCUCACUCAAGCCAGGCUGUUCGUGGUGCCCUCCCUCCCUGACCACAGACCCAGGCUGUGCCAACUAAAGUUCUUCACCAAACUUUUUGAACUUGAAAUUGGGAAAGAAAACCAGGCCCUCUGUGGUGGACAUCUGUGAGCUGCGAGGCCCAAGCUUGCUGCAGAGCAGCCACAUUUCCGGAAGCCGACACAGAGAAGCAGAAGCCAAGGGCGCGGAGUCCAGGUGGCUCUUCUCCUUGCCGGUGUUCCUGAGGUCCAGCUCUGUCCCUGGCCUCCCUGCGGGUCAGGAGUUCAAACUUGCCUUGGAGUCUGUGUGCCAAAAAAGUUCUCCCUCUGCUGUUCAAGCUACUUCAAACUGGGCUUCUGUUAGUAGCAUCUGAGUAUCCUGACCCAUAAGAAAGCAUUUUCUCCCAGUGAUCCCAAAUCUGUCUCCUGAUCAUAUGCCCCCAUUCAUUCUUGUUCUUGGUGCUCUGGAGGUGCACUUAUUAA